rnacentral:rRNA from 1 species
UACGGGGGGAGCAAGCGUUGUUCGGAUUUACUGGGCGUAAAGGGCGCGUAGGCGGCCACCGCAAGUCGACUGUGAAAUCUCCGGGCCUUAACCCGGAAAGGUCAGCCGAUACUGCGGGGCUAGAGUGCAGAAGGGGCAACUGGAAUUCUCGGUGUAGCGGUGAAAUGCGUAGAUAUCGCUUGGAACGCCAAAGGUGAAGACAGGUUGCUGGGGGUGUGCCGACGCUGAGACGCGAAAGCCAGGGGAGCAAACGGG